rnacentral:rRNA from 1 species
UACGUAGGGGGCAAGCGUUGUCCGGAAUCAUUGGGCGUAAAGAGCGUGUAGGCGGCCCGAUAAGUCCGCUGUGAAAGUCCAGGGCUCAACCCUGGGAUGCCGGUGGAUACUGUCGGGCUCGAGUCCGGAAGAGGAGUGUGGAAUUCCUGGUGUAGCGGUGAAAUGCGCAGAUAUCAGGAGGAACACCAGUGGCGAAGGCAGCACUCUGGGACGUGACUGACGCUGAGACGCGAAAGCGUGGGGAGCAAACAGG